CCUACGGGAGGCAGCAGUGAGGAAUAUUGGUCAAUGGACGAGAGUCUGAACCAGCCAAGUAGCGUGAAGGAUGACUGCCCUAUGGGUUGUAAACUUCUUUUAUAUGGGAAUAAAACAGGGUACGUGUACCUUCUUGUAUGUACCAUAUGAAUAAGGAUCGGCUAACUCCGUGCCAGCAGCCGCGGUAAUACGGAGGAUCCGAGCGUUAUCCGGAUUUAUUGGGUUUAAAGGGAGCGUAGGUGGGUUGUUAAGUCAGUUGUGAAAGUUUGCGGCUCAACCGUAAAAUUGCAGUUGAUACUGGCAGUCUUGAGUACAGUUGAGGUAGGCGGAAUUCGUGGUGUAGCGGUGAAAUGCUUAGAUAUCACGAAGAACCCCGAUUGCGAAGGCAGCUUACUGAACUGUAACUGACAUUGAUGCUCGAAAGUGUGGGUAUCAAACAGGAUUAGAUACCCUUGUAGUC
rnacentral:rRNA from 1 species